UACGUAGGUGGCGAGCGUUGUCCGGAUUUACUGGGCGUAAAGGAUGCGUAGGCGGAUAUUUAAGUGAGAUGUGAAAUACCCGAGCUUAACCUGGGUGCUGCAUUUCAAACUGGAUAUCUAGAGUGUGGGAGAGGAGAAUGGAAUUCCUAGUGUAGCGGUGAAAUGCGUAGAGAUUAGGAAGAACACCAGUGGCGAAGGCGAUUCUCUGGACCAUAACUGACGCUGAGGCAUGAAAGCGUGGGUAGCAAACAGG
rnacentral:rRNA from 1 species